rnacentral:lncRNA from 1 species
UUUUUUUUUUUUUUCUGGAAAGCACAGUCAUAGAGGGAUUUUUUUUUUUUUCGGCAUUAACAUAGAUACCAGUGUCUGAUAACUGAGUUGAUGAGCACUAAGAGGCUGGCCAUGGGCAUUCCUUCUGCUGAUGUGUGUCAUGGCAAGUAGGUGCGACUUCCUGAUAUGGCAGCUUUUGCAUUGUUGCAGCUUCCCCAUCAUAGUGGGGGUAGUACGAUUCCAGAGCUAGCUGCUUCCUGAUCACACCACACAAGAGGUAGAAGCUCCAAGGUAACCGUUUGUACCCUGUGGCUUUUGUUCCUGAAAGCAUGGCUUGGAGGCUAUUUCUUUAACUUUCUCAAUGAUUCAGUAAGCCAUUUAAUAUCCUAUAGUAAAUAUUUUUCCUGUUUAAACUAGCUACAGUGGAUUCAGUUCUUUGCAAGUAAACUCUGAUCAAUGUAGAGCUUUAGGGACCCAAUGGCCUAUGCCAAUAUUUUAUAUGAGAAGCAAACAGGGUUCAAGUAUGGCUUCUCCACUGUUGAUCAUGGUUAUACUCUCAUUAUUAUGGAGAGAAAUCUGUCAAUAAUUAUAUGUCAGUUUAUAUCUUUUAUUGUUCUUUCAUCAGCCUUUGAUAGGAAACAGUUAUGGCAUGAAGAGCAUGACACUGAAAACUGUCGAGACACUGAGGAGUUAAUGACAGUGCUUCUCAAACUCACCUCCAUGUUAGAAUUGUCAGGGGAGCUUUAAAAAUUCCUAAUUUUGGGGCAGUCUCCAGAACAAUUAAGCCAGACUUUCUGGGUCUGGGCCCCAGGAUUCAGUGUUUUGAAAGAUUCCCAAGGAAUUUCGAUGCACAGCCAAGGUUGGAGAACCACUGCCAUCUGGGAAGAGAGAGAGGUGAACUCUCCGGUUAUGUAUGAAUUGCAGUUGGGGAGAAAUAACAUACUAGUAAGGUGUAAUUUACUAUUUUACAGUGAGAAAUUAGAAAUUGGGCUAAAAUCAGCACUGUGUUGGCAGAGCUGAGUUCCUUUCUGGAGACUCUACGGGAGAAUCUGUUUUCUUGCCUUUUCUGAUUUCUAGAGGCUUCCUGCCAUCGUCAAAGCCAGCAAAGGCUAGUUGAGUCUUUCUGGCAAUGCCAUCUCUCUGAUUCUGACUUUCCUGCCUCCCUCUUCCACUUUUAAGGACCCUGUGAUUACUCUGGGCCCACUGGGAAAACCCCAGAUAAUGUCCCAUUUCAAAAUCAGUUGAUUAACCACUUAAUUUCACUUUCACCUUGAAUCCCCUCUGGCCAUGUAACCUAACAUAUGUAUAGGUUCCAGGGGUUAGGAUGUGAUAUGUUUGGGGGGUCAUUAUUCUACUUAUCCUAAGAUAAUAAAGGACAAGGACACUGGGGAAGAGGUACCCCGGUGGAUUCCUCCCGCACAGUUUUUUAAUCAGAAGUGGCAAUUGGAAGGUCCAUAGCACUCAAAAAUCAUUAUGCUAUUAAUUCAGAUGUGAUAGGAAGCCUGGUACAUAGUAUAUUCAUACUUCUGUAAGAAGUAGGGUUAGCCAAGCAAGAAGAGAUUGCUAAGAAAUUGGAUAAAUUUGUGAUUUGUGCCUUGCCACUGUCACCUAUUUGCAAAGACAUAUUUUAAUGAUUGGAAACUUCUUUGCAGUC